GAUGAACGCUGGCGGCGUGCCUAACACAUGCAAGUCGAACGAAGCACCUUGAAGUUUUCGGACAGAUGGGUGACUGAGUGGCGGACGGGUGAGUAACGCGUGGGUAACCUGCCUCAUACAGGGGGAUAACAGUUAGAAAUGACUGCUAAUACCGCAUAAGCGCACAGAGCUGCAUGGCUCCGUGUGAAAAACUCCGGUGGUAUGAGAUGGACCCGCGUCUGAUUAGCUAGUUGGUGGGGUAACGGCUACCAAGUCGACGAUCAGUAGCCGGACUGAGAGGUUGAAACGGGCCACGAUUGGGACUGAGACACGGCCCAGACUCCUA
rnacentral:rRNA from 1 species